rnacentral:rRNA from 1 species
AGAGUUUGAUCCUGGCUCAGGACGAACGCUGGCGGCGUGCCUAACACAUGCAAGUCGAACGGAGCUGUGUCACGAAGUUCUUCGGAGCGGACGACAUAGCUUAGUGGCGGACGGGUGAGUAACGCGUGAGCAACCUGCCUUUCAGAGGGGGACAACGGUUGGAAACGACCGCUAAUACCGCAUGAUAUGACUGGAGCGCAUGAUCCGGUCAUCAAAGAUUUUAUCGCUGAAAGAUGGGCUCGCGUCUGAUUAGAUAGUUGGUGGGGUAACGGCCCACCAAGUCGACGAUCAGUAGCCGGACUGAGAGGUUGAACGGCCACAUUGGGACUGAGAUACGGCCCAGACUCCUACGGGAGGCAGCAGUGGGGAAUAUUGGGCAAUGGGGGCAACCCUGACCCAGCAACGCCGCGUGAAGGAAGAAGGCUUUCGGGUUGUAAACUUCUUUUACCGAGGACGAAGAACGUGACGGUACUCGGAGAAAAAGCCACGGCUAACUACGUGCCAGCAGCCGCGGUAAUACGUAGGUGGCAAGCGUUGUCCGGAAUUACUGGGUGUAAAGGGCGUGUAGGCGGAGCGGCAAGUCAGAAGUGAAAUCUCUGGGCUCAACCCGGAAACUGCUUUUGAAACUGUCGCCCUUGAGUAUCGGAGAGGCAGGCGGAAUUCCUAGUGUAGCGGUGAAAUGCGUAGAUAUUAGGAGGAACACCAGUGGCGAAGGCGGCCUGCUGGACGACAACUGACGCUGAGGCGCGAAAGCGUGGGGAGCAAACAGGAUUAGAUACCCUGGUAGUCCACGCCGUAAACGAUGGAUACUAGGUGUGGGGGGACUGACCCCCUCCGUGCCGCAGUAAACACAAUAAGUAUCCCACCUGGGGAGUACGACCGCAAGGUUGAAACUCAAAGGAAUUGACGGGGGCCCGCACAAGCAGUGGAUUAUGUGGUUUAAUUCGACGCAACGCGAAGAACCUUACCGGAAUUUGACAUCCUGCUAACGAAGUAGAGAUACAUUAGGUGCCCUUCGGGGAAAGCAGAGACAGGUGGUGCAUGGUUGUCGUCAGCUCGUGUCGUGAGAUGUUGGGUUAAGUCCCGCAACGAGCGCAACCCUUAUUGUUAGUUGCUACGCAAGAGCACUCUAGCGAGACUGCCGUUGACAAAACGGAGGAAGGCGGGGACGACGUCAAAUCAUCAUGCCCCUUAUGUCCCGGGCUACACACGUAAUACAAUGGCGUUAAACAGAGGGAAGCAAAGCCGCGAGGCAGAGCAAAACCCUAAAAGGCGUCUCAGUUCGGAUCGCAGUCUGCAACUCGACUGCGUGAAGUUGGAAUUGCUAGUAAUCGCGGAUCAGCAUGCCGCGGUGAAUACGUUCCCGGGCCUUGUACACACCGCCCGUCACACCAUGAGAGUCGGGAACACCCGAAGUCCGUAGUCUAACCGCAAGGGGGGCGCGGCCGAAGGUGGGUCUGAUAAUUGGGGUGAAGUCGUAACAAGGUAGCCGUAUCGGAAGGUGCGGCUGGAUCACCUCCUU